CUGGGCUGCCCCUCCGGGUGUCCAUGAGUCACAGAGCCGCUCCAGAAACUCCUGGUCCCGCUCCGGGCUGAGAAGAGAGUUCCGUUCACAACAAAGAAAUUCCGGGGAAGCGGGAGCCCCAGCGGCUGACAACGCAUACAAGUGAUUGCAGAGCACUCCCCUCGGACUUCUGUUGGAACUUCUAGCACACUGAAUUUGCUUUCGCAGUUCGACGUCCCUGCUGGAGUGUGAGCCCAUUGUGACCCUCACCGCCGGUCGUGCCUUUCACACGAACGAGGUUCUCCGUGGGACCUGGCGGUGGCCCUGUGGGACAGAGCACCCUCCCUGGAGGGGCACCAAGGCUGUAUGGACCCCCCUCGGCCCCCUUAUUCUGGGUCAUCUCCCUGAGGUACCACAGAUAAGUCCCGAAGAUCCCCCUUUCCCAAAGAGCCUUUUCCCGGAACGCUAAUGUUUUGUUUUGUUUUGUUUGUUUUUUUGUUUUUUUGAGGAAAAAAGUUCUGUGGCGAAAUAAACUGAGAAAGUGGG
rnacentral:lncRNA from 1 species